rnacentral:rRNA from 1 species
ACUACGGGAGGCAGCAGUGGGGAAUAUUGCACAAUGGGCGAAAGCCUGAUGCAGCAACGCCGCGUGAGGGAAGAAGGGAUUCGGCUCGUAAACUUCUAUCAACAGGGACGAAAGAAAUGACGGUACCUGAAUAAGAAGCCCCGGCUAACUACGUGCAAGCAGCCGCGGUAAUAGGUGGGGGGCAAGCGUUCUCCGGAAUUACUGGUGUAAAGGGGGAGUAGGGGGCAUGGUAAGACAGAUGUGAAAGCCCUGGGCUUAACCCGAGGAUGGCAUUUGGAACUAUCAAGCUUGAGUACAGGAGAGGAAAGCGGAAUUCCUAGUGUAGCGGUGAAAUGCGUAGAUAUUAGGAAGAACACCAGAGGCGAAGGCGGCUUUCUGGACUGAAACUGACGCUGAGGCACGAAAGCGUGGGGAGCAAACAGGAUUAGAUACCCCUGUAGUC